AUUUCCUGAGACAGGAGGACAUCAAAUCAGGUUCCUUGUUGGAUGAUCCAAACUUUUUGGAUGCAGGUGUUAUUCCUCCAUCUGUUGUCCUGAAGCAAUUAGCUGUCGCUAUUGAGUAAGAUAUG